AGGCAGGACCUCAAGCAAUACUUACUCUUGAACCCCGCGAGCUCCGGAAGGAAGCAACGGUAAAAGAGUCAGGUAUUUGGCUUGAGAAAAUCUUGCUGGAGC
rnacentral:SRP_RNA from 1 species